AAUAAGCUUAUCUCUUUCUUUGCUUCCUACUUACCUAUUAUUUCCCCUGCAUUCCAGAACUGUUGUUUGGAACUUGGGAGCCACUCGCUACCUUUGAUACAAUCUCAAUCUUAGGUAUGAUUGAAUCAUACAAGUUAGGCAAUAAAUUUUUAAAACUAUUUGUCUUGUCAUAGCUAAUAAUAGGUCAUUAUCUUGAGAUUAGACAAAGAUAAUUGGUUGCCCUGCAAAUCAAAGGACUUUAUUAACUUGAUGCAAUUUUCUUAAGUGAACCAAUAAGGCCGGCCUUCCAGUAAAAAAGAUCUUCCAAGUCAAAUUUGGAGCACAUCAGCUGGCUAUGAACAUUGAGAUGGCAAUGUCCACGCUUGAGUUGCUUUUUAGCAACCAUUACACACCAUUGUAUCAAAUUUCUUGUUGAAGCAAACAAGGCUCAUUUUCUUCACUUUCCGAGAAAGUGCUAGCAAUAGUAAGGACAAUCACUUAACCAUUACCACCUAAUCUUUUUGCUAUUAAUAGACUAUAAUUAAGAUUCUCAUCCCUUAAUGCCUUUCAUUAUCACUGCCCCUGCAAAGCAAAUCCUCUUCUAAUUUCGCCACCUAGAUGCUAUUUCCACGCAUACUUUUUCCUUAAAGGACCUGAAUUUUUUUUUAUUGUGUUCUAGUUGGAAGGAAGAAAGCAUGUGUCACCUCACAAGUUGGCCAUGAACUUGCUGUUUACUCCAUUUAAAUUAGGACGCUUUGUCCACGGAGAAGAUUCCCUUUAACUCCUCUUCUACACCAUAUAUGGUAUCUUAACAGUUUGAUUUUAAAAUUUACUCAACAGUCGAUUGACUGAACCGUGAGCACCCAUGGGUCUAAAGGCACCCUUUUAAACCAGUUCUGACUUCUGAUGGCAGGAAAACACAAACAGAUACACCCAAUUUUGUUCUUCAGCAGCACAAGAUUCUCCCUUUUCUUCUUUAGUCUAUUGGGUAAGUAAGGGAGUUGGCCAAAUUUUCUUACCUUAAGAGGCAAUUGAGCAGGGUAAGCGAAGUGUGUUCUCCGAUUAAUCAUUGCCAAUCUCAUGACCAACAAAAACAGCUCACCACACUGUUGCUCCCAUGUGGUUAUGGUAAAUCAUAAUGCUUUCACUCAGGAACACGAUGACACUAUCAAUGGAGAAGAUCAGUGCUUAAACUAUGUGGUUUCACAGGGACCAUUUCAAUCUUCAAACCCACCAAACGCCCUGUCCAGAUUAUUGAUUGCUUAACGUUCCAAAUUGCUCUGAUUUUUCAUAAAUAGUUAUAUCAGGCAAUUAUGGCUGUCUUAAUGGAAUAAUUUAACCAGGUUCGGACCCUUUUACCCUGAUAAUUGUCACAAAGCACAAAUUAUCCUCAAAUGUUCUUGCCCUAACUGGGGUCACCUGAAGAUUCCUGACAUGUACGAUCUCUACAAUGCUGAAGUUGAGAUAUUGAGCCCUUAAACCAACCAUUUACCAACUGAAAAUCAGUAUUUGAACGAAGGCAAGGAGUACUUGACGGGCAGAAACUCCGGGCAGACAGUGAGGACCACCAUCUGCUAAUAAAACCCUCCAAUUCCAAAGCAAGGGAAUUUUUAGCAGCACCGUAACCAUAGUUUUGUUUAUCUGUCUGUAACACACACAUUUUAUGUUGCUUUCAAUAGGUUCAGAAUAUCCAAACCCCGAGGGAUGAAAACAAAACUACUGCAACAAUGAAACAUCACAAAUUUCUUCCUCCGCGCAAAUACUUCUUCCUCGUGCCCUUCCAUCAGAAUUCAGAAACAAUGCGUCUUUGGAAUGUGUUCACAUCUGAUGAAUUCAGUUAAAACUGAAAAUUUAAGUUUGGUUCAAUGGCUAAAUGCGAUAAUAUCACUCACCUGAUUCAACUCCCCACCAACCGAGUUUGAAUUGUGUUACAGCUCACCAUUCACCAAUUGCCACUAUCCAUAAGAAAUCAGUUAGCUCAAAGCAAUGAAACAUGACAACCACUACUCUUAAAAGUCUCAACCAAAAAAUCAUAUCACCAAAUCCCUCAACCACACUUUCAUUUUUUUCUUCAAUGCCAUCAUCUGCAAAUCCAAACCAAGCAAACGCACCAAAAGAAUUAAAGAUAGGACAGAACCCAAUAACACUACCUUGCUUUUCUAUUCUAAAAACAUAAACCAACCAACCAUACACACUAGCAAGUCAAAAUUCCCCUACUAAAUUUCAAUCAUAGCCAAAGAACAUCACUAAUCACCUAUCCCAUUACACCAAACCCCUACUUCCUAACUAUGCUCGUAAACCAAAAUAAAACUUAGAGAGAGAGAGAGAGAGAGA
rnacentral:misc_RNA from 1 species